UACGUAGGCAGCGAGCGUUGUUCGGAUUUAUUGGGCGUAAAGAGCUCGUAGGCGGCUUGUCGCGUCGACUGUGAAAACCCGCGGCUCAACUGCGGGCCUGCAGUCGAUACGGGCAGGCUAGAGUUCGGUAGGGGAGACUGGAAUUCCUGGUGUAGCGGUGAAAUGCGCAGAUAUCAGGAGGAACACCGGUGGCGAAGGCGGGUCUCUGGGCCGAUACUGACGCUGAGGAGCGAAAGCGUGGGGAGCGAACAGG
rnacentral:rRNA from 1 species